GAAAACCAGGCAGGUGAGGAGGACGAGAUAAGAGGAGGGAAACAGAGCAGAAGACACACAGAAAACACAAAGCUGCAUGAGAGGAUCAUGACUUAACACGAUGUUAAACACAUGUCUGAACGGAUAACGUCUCCAAAGUGAAGACUUCCGCGGACUUUUUGCUGAGUCGCUACACAAUGACACUACAAUAAUGUGAGCGGUCGGUGUCGGUGAUGAUGUUCCAGGAGCAACGGUGACAUGAAGAUAUCGGAUCAUUCGGCAGUUGGACUGAUCUCCAUCCAUGAUCGUGGUCACUCAAACAGGCUUUUGGAAACUUCAAGUGCUCAUUACUGGGUCUCUGGUAGGAUAGUGGAUUCACUACGCCUAUCAGCCAACAAUGAAAUUUCAUUUCAGGAAUGUUUGAAUGUUUUGCCAUGCUUCUCCACUCCGCAACCAGUUAUUACAAGCAGUGGCGGUUGUUUUUCCACCAAGAAAAUGAUGGUGUGUAAAUGAGGAACUGUGAUGAAAAUAUAAAAGCAUCCCAGAGUCUGACCUUUACAGACUUUUCCUGAUGGCAUCAAGUACUAUUUAAGAUUCACCCGAAAGAGAAGUAAAUACUUCUUGUCUGAUAAUUCUACCCCAAAAGAUGUUAAACUUUAAGACUUUUUUUGUAAUUUUUUUUUCACUUACCGAUUCCAUAAUCGGAGGUUAAAUGCUCUCUUUUGAAAUCAUGUUUUCUGCGAAUACCACGUUUAUCAGCAGACUUCAGAUUUAACCGCAUUCCACACCAAACUCCCCAAAUUUCAUUGUAAAAACUGAGACGUAUGCUACUUCUCUGCUAAGCUUGUUACCAAAAGCAGACACCUAAAUUUUGGCAAUUUUUUUUUGUGCAUAUUAAAAACAAAUACAAUGAAAUGAGCAAAGUUCUGCCACCUUGUUUUAUUCAGUUAACAGUUCAAUAUGGAGAAAAGUUUGCUUCAAUGUCUUAGUUUUACUUUUUAUGUAUGAAUAUAUUACACUAUAAUGGAAAAAAAAACACCAAAUAAUAAUCUUAGAAACUUCUGUUACUUC